rnacentral:rRNA from 1 species
UACGUAGGGUGCGAGCGUUAAUCGGAAUUACUGGGCGUAAAGCGUGCGUAGGCGGUCUGUUAAGACCGAUGUGAAAUCCCCGGGCUUAACCUGGGAACUGCAUUGGUGACUGGCAGGCUUUGAGUGUGGCAGAGGGAGGUAGAAUUCCACGUGUAGCAGUGAAAUGCGUAGAGAUGUGGAGGAAUACCGAUGGCGAAGGCAGCCUCCUGGGCCAACACUGACGCUCAUGCACGAAAGCGUGGGGAGCAAACGGG